GAUGAACGCUGGCGGCGUGCCUAAUACAUGCAAGUCGAGCGAACAGACGAGGAGCUUGCUCCUCUGACGUUAGCGGCGGACGGGUGAGUAACACGUGGAUAACCUACCUAUAAGACUGGGAUAACUUCGGGAAACCGGAGCUAAUACCGGAUAAUAUAUUGAACCGCAUGGUUCAAUAGUGAAAGACGGUUUUGCUGUCACUUAUAGAUGGAUCCGCGCCGCCUUAGCUAGUUGGUAAGGUAACGGCUUACCAAGGCGACGAUGCGUAGCCGACCUGAGAGGGUUGACCGCCCCCACAGAAGCGAGACACCGUCCCGACUCCUACCGGAGGCAAGAGUCAGGAAUUUUCCGCAAUUGGGGGAAGACUUACGGAACCACCCCGGGUGAGUGAAUAAGGGCCUCGGAUUCUAAAACCCUUUUUUUAGGGAAGAACAAAUGUGUAAGUAACUAUGCACGUCUUGACGGUACCUAAUCAGAAAGCCACGGCUAACUACGUG
rnacentral:rRNA from 1 species